AUGUGUAUCGAAAAGUCAAAAGGAGGUCUCGGAUUUCGGGAUUUUGAAACCUUCAAUGACGCGAUGCUGGCCAAGCAAGCAUGGAGAAUUCUUGACAAUCCAAACAGCUUGUGUGCCCGAGUUCUAAAGGGAAGAUAUUUCCCAAAUGAGGGGUUCCUAACUGCGGGUUGUCCAAAAAGUGCAUCUAAAACAUGGAAGGCUAUAAUUGUAGGGAGAGAGAUGCUCAAGAAAGGACUAAUUCGACGAGUGGGAGAUGGAUCAAAAACCGAAGUGUGGCAUGAUCAUUGGAUAGAGGGCUCCACGUCCAUGACUCCAAUGGGUGCACUCAAGCCGAAUUCUAUUCAGCUUGUGGCUGACUUGAUUGAUCCGGAGACAAACCAAUGGGACGUAGAUAACAUCCGAAGUCUGUUUUUUUCCCCGGAUGCGGAUGCGAUCUUGGCCAUGCCUAGACCGAGAGCAGGAGGUACAGACAUAUGGGCAUGGGCCUGGGAGAAGUCGGGCUUUUUCAUAGUCCGGUCAGCCUACCGGCAAACGAUGCAAGCAAAGCUUCAGCUGUCGGCAAUGGUAGGAUCAUCCUCUGGCGAUGAAGGAGUAUGGCGUGCAUUGUGGAAGCUGAAUGUGCUUCCUAAGAUUCGAGUUUUCUGGUGGCGCGUGCUUAAAGGCUUCUUACCAAAUUAUGGUGAGCUUCGACACGACAUAUCAAGCAGACGCCGAACUGUCCAAUGUGUGGACAUGACAAUGAAAUUCUGUUUCAUUCACUGA
rnacentral:rRNA from 1 species